GGGACUCUCACCUCUAGGUGGUUCCAAGCAUCUGAUUCUGCCUUCCUGGUUUCCCAGGGCUGCUGGUUGCUUCCUCCCGGGCUUCUGGCUCUGGGCAUCUCUUGGCUGUAGCUGAGCCGCUCAGGCAGCGCUUCCACAAAGCAGAGCAGAGCAAACUGUCUGUAGAAGCAGGCUUGCCGGUCCCUGGGUUUCUGCUGCCGGAGCUGCUCGGGGACUGUACAGGACCAGCAGGCGACACCCUGCCAGGAUACGCUGUCUGCUGUCACCUCUGUGCCAGACAUGGGGCCUACUCCUUACAGACGCCGUCUCACUUCAUCUCCCAGUUCUGCUCUGAAGAAGGCAGAAAGAAGCCCAGUGGCCUGGCUGGCAUGGCCGGUGGGCUGCAGGCCCCAGCUUCCCCCUCAGCUGAACCUGAUGGGCUGAAAUCACCUUGCCUCUGGAUCAUGAGUCUUGAGAAGUUGUGGAGAGAGGUGUCAGAGAACCACCUUAACACUGUUCUGCAUUCUCCACCAUCAUCAUCUUCACCAUCCUCCCAGGCACAGGCAUGGGAUGCAACUCUAGCUUCUGAGGAGAAAGGAGAGGUCCUUUGGGCAUUUGGGGGAAGGAUUUCCUCCCAGAUGAAAAGGAUAUGUGAGAAGAAGUUGCCCCUCCUGUUCUUGGUCACAGUUCUAUGAAGAUACGCUGUUGGAGGCUAAGGCGGCCAUCUUGCAACCAUGAGAUAAACCUGAAGACAAAAGCCAGUGAACCAAGCAGCAGAGUAGAAAACCCUUGAUUAAAUGAAAUUAAACAAUCUCCUCCCAGCUACCUUUGUACUACUUGUUAUAUGAGAUUACAAAACCUUUGUUGCUGAAGCCAUUGAUGCAGGAGGAUCACUCAGGGAGCUUGUUGUAACACAGAGACUCUGACUCAGUGGAGCUGGAGUGAGGCCCAUGAAUUUGCAUUUCCAAC
rnacentral:lncRNA from 1 species